rfam:Oryza glaberrima chromosome 6 Oglab06_0228_10, whole genome shotgun sequence.
AAAAAGAUAAACCCUAGGUUUCCAUGUCCAACGUUUGACUGUCCGUCUUAUAUGAAUUUUUUUUAUAAUUAGUAUUUUCAUUAUUGUUAGAUGAUAAAACAUGAUUAAUACUUUAUGCGUGACUUAUCUUUUUAAUUAUUUUUAUAAUUUUUUCAAAUAAGACGGACGGUCAAACGUUGGACACGGAAAUCUAGAGUUUGUCUUUUC